GAUGAACGCUGGCGGCGUGCCUAAUACAUGCAAGUCGAGCGAACAGAUGAGAAGCUUGCUUCUCUGAUGUUAGCGGCGGACGGGUGAGUAACACGUGGGUAACCUACCUAUAAGACUGGGAUAACUCCGGGAAACCGGGGCUAAUACCGGAUAAUAUUUUGAACCGCAUGGUUCAAUAGUGAAAGACGGUUUCGGCUGUCACUUAUAGAUGGACCCGCGCCGUAUUAGCUAGUUGGUAAGGUAACGGCUUACCAAGGCGACGAUACGUAGCCAGCCUGCGAGUGUGACCGGCCACACUGGAAAUGAGACACGGUCCAGACUCCUACGGGAGGCAGCAGUAGGGAAGCUUCCGCAAUGGGCGAAAGCCUGACGGAGCAACGCCGCGUGAGUGAUGAAGGUCUUCGGAUCGUAAAACUCUGUUGUUAGGGAAGAACAAAUUUGUUAGUAACUGAACAAGUCUUGACGGUACCUAACCAGGAAGCCACGGCUAACUACGUGCCAGCAGCCGCCGUAA
rnacentral:rRNA from 1 species